AAACCACCAGGUCGCGUUGUGGUCUAUAAAAGCUCCAGUUCCGCCUCACGUCGUCCUUCCGCUGUGGCAACCGGCUUAGAGACACUGCGUAUCAUGAUGUCCUGCGCGAGCCGGAGGAGGAUGUCCGAAAGGCGGCUGAAUGAGUGUGAUCCUGAGCACUUUGACCCUGGAUAAAACGGUAGGUUAGAUAAAGAGUUGUGCCAAAAUCAAGGCCUUAAAUGUCAUAACGAAACACAAAAUUUAGAUUUAAACUGGCAUUCAGUCUAAAUUAAUAGGAACAUUAUGAAGCUUACUGUACAGGUUCAUCGAAAAGAACAAAAUGAUCGUUUUUGCUAGAAACUUUCCUGUUUGAAUGUGAGCUGCUUUAUAAAAAGAAUAACAAUAAUUCUGCAUUUGUGGCAUUAACAUAUAGUAUUUGGGCAUUAAAUUUGACUUCUUUCUGCCUUUUUAUAAACCCUAAGACUUUGUAUUUUUAGCUGCAGUUCUAUCCACUAUUUUUUUUUUUUGGCAUUGGAGAUUUACUCUUGUGAAUUUGCACGUCUAUAACCGAUAUUUAGAUAUGAUCUGAUAGACCGUAGUUUAGCGAGGCCUGAUUCGCUGUGAUGACUCUUUUUCCUGCCAUUCGUAGUUUCCUCCAGAGGCCGAGGGGCCAAAGACGGUUCAAACCUUCCUUGGAUGUCUGAGCGAAUCUUAAAACAGAGUCUCCUUUAGCUCUGUUUUAAUGUUGCUGUUUCUAACUUGGACUUUUUCUUUCAGGUGUUGUGAAGAUCUGGGCUUCGAAUGCUGAGUAAAGUUUCCUCCGGAGGCCGAGAGGCCAAAGACGGUUCAAACCUUCCUUGGAUGUCUGAGCGAAUCCCAGUCUAGUUCCUCCUCUUUACGCCUUAGUUUUAACUCUGUCAGUCAAAAACAGGAAUCCAGGAAGUGGCUCCAACAUGACUGUGUUGCUCCCUGGUCUUUCCCACGCUUAUUCAUUCUAGGGCUGGGCGAUAUGACUAUAUUAGACUGUCUUACGAUCCCAGAGCAGACGGUCUGUCAUUUUUGUGGGCUCGUUUUAUCACGGUUUUAUGCACUUCAGCACAGUUUACUCUUUUCACUGUCAGUGAAGGAAUCCCAAGCUGCAAACUUUCUGCUACGCAAUGUCAGACGCUAAUGCAAGCAUUUAGCAGCGAGACGCUCCUCUCCAGGGCGUAUAUACGACCAGGCUCCUCAAUCUAGAGCUUUAAAAUGUUUUAAAACCAGCGUUCUGUCUCUAUUUCAGCUGUCAUGUCAGUGUCUUUCCCCGCUAACGCCGCUGCUCUGCGUACGUAGAGCGCAGCGUGUGUUUAUUUAUUUACCUGGCGGCACAUGUGUGAAGAAGCGAGUGUGUCCUUCGUCCUUACAGUUCUGUCAGGCGCCACAUCCUUAUUUAAUUUAAAUCCUGGAAUGCGUUCAU
rnacentral:lncRNA from 1 species